GGGCCCGUAGCUCAAUUGGCAGAGCAUCUGGCUGGCAGUCAGGAGGUUAGGAGUUCAAGUCUCCUCGGGUCCAC
rnacentral:tRNA from 1 species